rnacentral:rRNA from 1 species
UACGUAGGGGGCAAGCGUUGUCCGGAAUUAUUGGGCGUAAAGAGCGCGUAGGCGGUCCGAUAAGUCGGCUGUGAAAGUCCAGGGCUCAACCCUGGAAAGCCGGCCGAUACUGUCGGACUAGAGUCCGGAAGAGGCAAGUGGAAUUCCCGGUGUAGCGGUGAAAUGCGCAGAUAUCAGGAGGAACACCAAUUGCGAAGGCAGCUCGCUGGGACGUAACUGACGCUGAGACGCGAAAGCGUGGGGAGCAAACAGG